CUCCCUGGCCCUCCCCUUCACCGUCUCCCCCUUUGGAAGGCGUGGGGAGAGUGAGUAGAAAGGUAAUUUAUCAGCUUUAUCCCAAAGACUUGUCUUUGGCAGCUAAUCCUGGGUUAGAUAGAGGGAGGAUUUCUGUUGUGGAGACUUAACUUAUACCCAUUCAGGUCAAAGUUCAGAAAUUCAACAGAUUAAGGGUUGUGAAAGUUUCUUGGAAAGGUUUGGGGCAUGUGUCGCAAAGGACUUUGUGUUGGCUUCUCCUUGUUCCGGGCCCCUGCCUGUAGUGCCCUCACCCACCAUCCCUGUGUGGCCCUCUCCUCUAGCAGGCCUCUCUAGCCCAGCUUGCCCUGCUUUCUCUAGCCUCUGGUUGUCUUAGUCUGUGUUAUACAACCAAGCAUUUUGUGUGUGCGUCCUGUGGCCCAGGAAGAUUCUGGAACUAGAGUUGUGCCUUUCAUGUCUUUGUGCCCCUGUGUCACCUGUCACUGUGCUGAGCUCCUUUGCUUAGCUCUUGGCUAGGCACAGAAAUGACAGACAAGGGACGUUCUCAGGCUGGCUGGGGGGACAGCUGGGCCCAGUAUGGGGAG
rnacentral:lncRNA from 1 species